rnacentral:rRNA from 1 species
AGCGAACGCUGGCGGCAGGCCUAACACAUGCAAGUCGAACGAAGUCUUCGGACUUAGUGGCGGACGGGUGAGUAACACGUGGGAACGUACCUUUUGGUUCGGAACAACUCAGGGAAACUUGAGCUAAUACCGGAUGAGCCCUUAGGGGGAAAGAUUUAUCGCCAAAAGAGCGGCCCGCGUUAGAUUAGCUAGUUGGUGAGGUAAAGGCUCACCAAGGCUACGAUCUAUAGCUGGUCUGAGAGGAUGAUCAGCCACACUGGGACUGAGACACGGCCCAGACUCCUACGGGAGGCAGCAGUGGGGAAUCUUGCGCAAUGGGCGAAAGCCUGACGCAGCCAUGCCGUGUGAAUGAUGAAGGUCUUAGGAUUGUAAAAUUCUUUUACCAGGGACGAUAAUGACGGUACCUGGAGAAAAAGCCCCGGCUAACUUCGUGCCAGCCGCCGCAGUAAGAC